rnacentral:rRNA from 1 species
GAUGAACGCUGACAGAAUGCUUAACACAUGCAAGUCGACGGGGAAGUGGUGCUUGCACCAUGGUAACCAUGGCGGACGGGUGAGUAACGCGUAAGGAACUUACCUGCGGGACCGGGAUAACAGCAGGAAACUGCUGACAAGACCGGAUAAGGUCAUUAAGCUGCAUAGCUUAGUGAUGAAAGGAGACGCCUGCGGGGAGCCUUGCGUCCUAUUAGCUAGUUGGAGGGGUAACGGCCCACCAAGGCGGAGAUAGGUAGCCGGCCAGAGGGGGGGGACGGCCACAAGGAGGCAGAGACGCCGCCCACUCCUCCGCGGGGAGGAAGUGGGGAGAAUUAUAGAAUAGGGGGGCAACUCUGAUCGAGCAAUUCUGUGUGCACGAAGACGGUUUUCGGAUUGUAAAGUGCUUUCAGCAGGGAAGAAGGAAGUGACGGUACCUGCAGAAGAAGCGACGGCUAAAUACGUG